rnacentral:rRNA from 1 species
UACGUAGGGUGCGAGCGUUGUCCGGAAUUAUUGGGCGUAAAGGGCUCGUAGGCGGUUUGUCGCGUCGGGAGUGAAAUCAUCUGGCUUAACUGGGUGCUUGCUUUCGAUACGGGCAGACUAGAGGUAUGCAGGGGAGAACGGAAUUCCUGGUGUAGCGGUGAAAUGCGCAGAUAUCAGGAGGAACACCGGUGGCGAAGGCGGAUCUCUGGGCCUUACCUGACGCUCAGGCGCGAAAGCUAGGGGAGCAAACGGG